AUGAAAACCUUACGUUACGGAAACCGAACACCAAGAACGUCCAUCGGUUAUGUCCUAAAUAGGCUAUUUCUAGGCUGUUCGAUUGGAAGAAUCGUAUCUGUCAAUAAGCUCUAACUUGUAGCUGCUCAUUGGUGAGGUGCACGACUUUCUCAUACCUCACAUGGAAAAACCUGCGUGGAAUUUGCAUUGCUGGUCAUCCAACUGUAACAGUUAAGCAUUUCCGAGCAUUUCAAGGUCCUAUACAACUCAACAAAUGUAUCGAGAUUUCGCAAUAUUGUUAAAUAACCCGGAAAGUUAAUGAAGUGCAAUCCAAGCGUACUAUUGGUGGUCGCUUUAGGAUUUUCCGUCUCGGUCGCUUUGGUUUCCCCUUUUACGUAGCGGAUUGUCGUUGGAGUCCCUGUAGCAAGACCAAAUUUGAUCACGUUUAUUGUGAUGGCAUGACUAAAGAAGCGCGUACGAGGGAGGUGGGUUGAAAUGUGAUACGCAGCUCGUGUAGAGGGUGAGGUUGCCAUAAAGCUAAAUGCCAGGAGGUGGGUAACGUAAAUCUAUGAGUGGUAGUGGGGAGGACAAGUACCUGGGAUCAGUCCGUACUCCUAGAUUACUGUGCCGUCUGUUGCUAGUACAGCCCCCGCAAGGCCGCAACUAUCGGUCGUACUCCUUCAAUACACUGCAACCUGGUGUCUUAGCUUCAAGGUACCCUCUUCUUCCGAACGAGUAUCCUUCCACGGUUAGGGCUCAGCCCCGAUCUCAAUCAAAUCAGGGAGACCGCAAACCCUCACCGAACAAAAAGAAUCGGGGACGUUCGUUGCGGUGAUUUUUUUUCCGGAGCUGUACGGUGCUAGAAUCGGUGCUAUACCGAAAACACCAUUCCAGCCAUGAGGGUUGUCUUAUUAGUGACCUUAUCUCCUGACAAGUCAACCGAAAUUCCAUGACUAAAGCCACACUUUGUUCAUGUUAGCCCCAGGGUAACUCCCACUUUCCAAAUUUAGAUCACGGUAAAAAGGCAAACCCCAUAAAUUUUUAUGGAAUGAAAAUAUCCGUUUCAGUUUUUAUUUAUCCUCUUAACGUAUACUAAAAAAAACCUAAAUAUAAUUUAAGCAAUAAUAUAAUGUUAAUAAGGGAGCGAGACUUUAGACCCCUUCGACAUAAGAUCCCGGAGGGCGUCGACCGUAGACCCCCCACCUUACGACGCAAGACCCCUAACAUAAAAAAAAAAGUUCUAAUUUUGAAUAACUCGGCAAUUUAAAACCCCUAGCCCCCGACACAAGACCGCUCUUUUUUAAAAUGAAAUAUAAUCCCGACUGAAGACCCCGGGCUUAAAAAUAAGUUAGUAAUUUACCGACUUUAAGUCCCUGUCCGCCGGCCGACGCAAUGUCCCUUUGAUUUUCUCAAGGAAAUCUUAUCUCGACCCAAGACCCCGUUUUCCAAAAUAGGUCGACAAACAUCGACUCCUAGUCCUAGGCAGGAAUUUUGUCUUGGUCCAAUGUUGUUGCCGAUUCAGAAUUGGUCAUCAAUUCAAGAUCCGAAUCGCACAUCGGCCAGUGUCGUUUUCAACUUGAAAUGUCAUGCUUUACCCGUUUCUAAUAUGUCAAUAUUGUUAAAUAAAGGAUCGCCGAUCUUCUACCAGAAAACAAAUUUUAAUGUUGGCACAGCAGACAUGGACUAGGUUUGGCGAAUGAAGUUGGAAAUUACCCGAGCCGAUAAGCGAUUCGGAUUUGAAGCCAAUAACGGCGCAAAACAACAUUGGGCCAACAUUAAGAAUUCCAACAUCCAAAAUUAAACAGUCUUAAACAAAACAAUAGCUUUAUUCAUAAUAAAAUGAAGGAGUGAAAUAGCUAGCCGGAUUUGAAGGGCUUGAAUCCUAGAACAAUUUACGACAACUUUAUCAGUCAGACGCUUUAACAACCUAGCGAUUUCUAUUCAAUUCCAUUAAUAUGUUUUCCGGAGUAAUUCGGAAGCUCGGUUGAAAACUUGUAUUGGCUUGCCAAAAGAAAACUUGUAUUUUUGUGCAUGAAUUUCUAAGCUUGGCCCUUUGCUAUAAUAGUAUUGGAAUUGGAAUACUGAUUUGUCACGCACAUUCUGCAAUGUUUGACUAUUGGAUACCCGGUAUUCAACGCAUCAACAUUGGUUUAAUAUUAUGAUAUAUACAUUGUUCGAACUUGACUGUCCAAGCACGGCCCAGGUUAAGAAUUUACUUGGUUUUCAACAACAAAAUUCCAAUAUAUUUUCUACCACGGUUCACUCUCAUAUAUAAUUUCUAUCGAAUUUCUGAAUGAACAUCGGAUUGUUGCUUCGGUAGCAAAACGCCUACAGUGAUUUGCUAUUACCCUAGCUGCGUUGUCAUUGCCAGUGCCUCUGUUUGUAACGAAACACCUUAAUUUCGAAGACGAAAAGGAAUAAUACGAGCUCAAUGUAACUAGUGGUAAUUCUUGGUAGCCUGCACCAUUAUCGAUAACAAACAAGACGGUCAAGGAGAAAUGGAAGCUUUAGGGGGUAGAAGAGAGCGGGCGUGGUUGGAACACAAAAAUGUUUUUUGUUUCUUCGAGUAAAAUAUUUGUUAAAGUUAUAUUUAAAAUGUAUGGUUUUGUAGGUAAUUAUCUAAGCUACACAAUUUUUUUUGGUGGGGGGGGGGGUUGACACUUUUAAACAGACGUAAUAUGUAAAAAAACUGGACUUCAAAGGUUUCAAUUGCCAAAAGUUCGGGGCAAUUGAAGCGUGGGUUUUCCCGUAAGGAAAGUCUUGUUUCAAAAUGACGCCAUGUCAGUAUGCGGGAUACGUAUUUUAAUGAAAUGUCUACUAUUAUCAGAGUCGGGCGGAGCGCGCUCUGAGCUUGAGCGAAAAAGGAGCGCGCUCGCGAUUUUCACUGAGCGACGAGCGCGAGCCGCUCAAUUAAAAAAAACGGGAUAGGGACUUUUGGGCUAGUUGCCCAAAGGACUCCAGGUUUUCCGACACUUGGACUUCUGGCACUCGACACUUGGACGACCGGUUCGCGACAGGAGGACAUCUGUCUAGCGACGUUAGGACUACUGGUUCCCGACGUUUGGGCACGACAAUCAAUGUUGCUGAACCCAGCAAGUCCUUUACGAGAUUACGACAAGUGAACUCCCGGGCCAGCGACGUUUGGACUCUUUUUCUUUCGUGUUGUUUACGAAUUAGUCGAGAAUUUUGUGAAAUCGCAAGAAUGUCUGGCCAGCGAAGGCCUGGAGUUCGUGGACGGCAAGCAGUUGUUUAAGGGGCUUCCUUGCCUGUGUUAUUUUUUAAGCCUUGUGUUAUUUUUUAAGUUAUUAUUAUUUUUUUUCCUUAUGUCCUGCCGAAGUGUAACCAAGCACUGUUUAAAUUUACGUUUGAUCGUGAUUGCCAUAUGUGAAUCUACCCAGAAAAAUUGUACAACCGUGAACGAAGAAUUUUGUAUUUAUGUUGUUUAAUACAUUAACAUUUGAACUACAA